UCAUUAAUUAUCGAAAGUAAUAACCUUAAAUUCAAAUUAUUUUCAGAUCGAUUUUUGACGGUUGGGGUAGACUUGUUAUUAGAAGGUGAUGACAAAUGGGAAUCCCAUGAAAUGACUUUGAAAGAUGGUAUCUAUCCGACAAGUAUCGCUAUGCAUGCUAAUAUGUUAUUUAUUGGUUUAAGUUCAGGUUACAUUCAUGUGUAUUCAAUCCGUCAUAUUCGUCAAUUAUUAAACAAGCAUAAAAUAUUGAAGAAA